GCCACCCCCAGCAGUGAGUGACAGUCUGUCCACAUGGCUGGAGACACCGGGAUGGCCGGGAUGUUGGCACUGCUCCUGUGGGUGUUGCCAUUUCCUGCGUCAACCCAUGAUGACCAAGAUGUCUCUGUGCUCGGGAUGUCCAUGCCAUACCAGUGUUCCCAUGGGGACUGUUUGAGGACAGACGCCUCACCUCAUACCCCGGGUGGUGCUGUCCAUUCAGUCACACCCCCACUGAGCCCUGUCCCUUCUCCCUUCCAGCCCAGACCCUCGGCUUUGCUGGUGCCCAGACCACCCAGCUCCUGGUGGAUCCUCCCUGGAGGCCGGCAGUGCUGUGGGACCAGGUGACACUGACCUGCCAGGGCUCGGGGACCGCGGGUGCCACCACCUGGUACCAGGAUGGGCAGCAUUGGUGGCAGGAGGGACCUGCCAACUUCACUGUCACCGCGAGUGGCAUCUACAGGUGUGACAGACCUGGCACCGGGCUCAGCCCCCCCAUGAGAGUCUUAA